rnacentral:lncRNA from 1 species
GAUGAGUAGGGGCGGUAGCACCUGGCCAUUGUGGCUUACAAGCUUCAACUCUGACCGCUCCUAAGGGAUCCAGUUGUGGCCAAUACAGUGGUCCCUAAACGACUGAAAAAGGGACAUAUCAAUUGGACCUCCUCCAAAUGAAGGUCCAAUGAUCCUACCAGCAUGUAGCUCUGGCUCUACCUGUUGUUGUUGUGUUUGUCAUCACAAUGCUAGCAUGUUGACGCAGUCAUUCUACGAUGUCUAUCUGCAACAUCUACUCCUUGUUGCAAUGGACCUUCAUCGGAGGGGUCACGUCCAACAACAUAUGGCAUCUGCUUCAUUCAAGCCAUUUGAAAAAAAUGAAAAAAAUAAGUCAACAUAAUAAACAACUAUAUUUAACUAAGAUAAUAAAAUAAAAAAAGUACGUUUUCCUAAAAGUAAUAAAAAAAUAAAACAUACAAUGGAAUCACGGUUCUUUUGUGUGUUUCAUCAAAAUGCAUAGCAGAAUUGUGUGUUGUUUUUUAGAGCCACAAGAAAUCACGAUUCUAUUGUAGUUUUACAAACCCAAAAAGAAUAGGCAUCGAAAUCGUGAUUCCAUCGUGUCAAAAUAGAUGACAAAAUCGUAACUUCAUUACCCAUUUUUUCCUAGAAAAAAAUAUAAAUGGAAUCAAGAUUCCGUUGUAUCUACAUCUAUAAUGGAAUCAUGAUUUUGUUGACCACAAACUGACAAGAAAAAAAAUGUACCUCAGAAUGAGUUAGAGAAGGAGAGGGAGAAGGAUUGGGUUGGGCAUGGUUAGGUUAGGUUGCAAAGUGAAGGAGGAGGAUUGGGGAACGAAAGAAGAGGAAGAGAGAAAAGGUUGGGAGGAGAAGAGAAAAG